GUGACAGUGGCUCAGGAGGUAGAGCAGUUGUCCAAUAAUCAGAUGGUUGGUGGUUCGAAUCCUACUCCAUCCCAGUCACU